rnacentral:lncRNA from 1 species
UUUAGUCCUGGUAUCUAUGAUGAGUUUAUUGUUAACUUCCGAUACAGCACAUAUAAGUCAGGCUUAUUCAACUUCGCCGAGGCGAGACAAAAAAAUCCAAGCGUUUUAAAGUACACAACAGGUUAGCAAAGAAUUAUAGAAAUAUAAUUUUGUUUCCUCCAAAAUAUUUGGUAAAAAAGAAUUGAGCAUACUGAAUUUACUUGGUACUUUUGGUGAAUUUCACUUUCAAAAAGAAAAAGAAACUAGAGGCUCUAAAGAGCCUGUGUCGCUCACCUUGGUCUAUGUGAAUAUUAAACAAAGGAAGCAGAUGGAUUCAUGACAAAAUUGUGUUUUGGUGAUGGUGAUGUGUUUGUACGUCUUACUUUACUGACCAUUCUUGCUGCUUACAGUUAUCUCUAUCUAUAAUGAACUUUGCCCAGUAGUUUCAGUGGUAAAUGUUAGUAAAAAUUUACAAAUUUUACGAAAAAUUGUUAAAAAUUGACUAUAAAGGACAAUAACUCCUUAGGGGGUCAAUUGACCAUUUCAGUCAUGUUGACUUAUUUGUAAAUCUUACUUUGCUGUACAUUAUUGCAGUUUAAAGUUUAUCUCUAUCUAUAAUAAUAUUCAAGAUAAUAACCCAAAACAGUAAAAUUUCCUUAAAAUUACCAAUUUAGGGGCAGCAACCCAACAACGGGUUGUCCGAUUCAUCUGAAAAUUUCAGGGCAGAUACAUCUUGACCUGAAAAACAAAUUUACCCAUGUCAGAUUUGCUCUAAAUGCUUUGGUUUUUGAGUUAUAAGCCAAAAAGUGCAUUUUACCCCUCUGUUCUAUUUUUAGCCAUGGUGGCCAUCUUGGUUGGAUGGCCGGGUCACCGGACACAUUUUGUAAACUAGAUACCCCAAAGAUGAUUGUGGCCAAGUUUGGAUUAAUUUGGCACAGUAGUUUCAGAGGAGAAGAUUUUUGUAAAAGAUUAAGAUUUACGAAAAAUUGUUAAAAAUUGACUAUAAAGGGCAAUAACUCCUAAAGGGGUCAACUGACCAUUUCGGUCAUGUUGACUUAUUUGUAAAUCUA